GAUGAAGAACGCAGUGAAAUGCGAUACGUAAUGUGAAUUGCAGAAUUCAGUGAAUCAUCGAAUCUUUGAACGCAUAUUGCGCUCUCUGGUAUUCCGGAGAGCAUGCUUGUUUGAGUAUCAGUAAACACCUCAACUUCCAUAUCUUUUUUGAAAUGGGAGUUGGACUUGAGUGAUCCCAACGCUUUUCCUCACCGAAAAGUGGCGGGUUACUUGAAAUGCAGGUGCAGCUGGACUUUUCUCUGAGCUAUAAGCAUAUCUAUUUAGUCUGCCUAAAAAACAGAUUAUUACCUUUGCUGCAGCUAACAUAAAGGAGAUUAGUUCUUGUGCUGACUGAUGCAGGAUUCACAAAGACAGGCUUCGGCCGACUUUGUAAACUCGAUCUCAAAUCAAGUAAGACUACCCGCUGAACUUAAGCAUAUCAUAAGCGGAGGA
rnacentral:misc_RNA from 1 species